AACGAACGCUGGCGGCAUGCCUAACACAUGCAAGUCGAACGAGACCUUCGGGUCUAGUGGCGCACGGGUGCGUAACGCGUGGGAACCUGCCUUUAGGUUCGGAAUAACUCAGAGAAAUUUGAGCUAAUACCGGAUGAUGUCUUCGGACCAAAGAUUUAUCGCCUUUAGAUGGGCCCGCGUUGGAUUAGCUAGUUGGUGGGGUAAAGGCCUACCAAGGCGACGAUCCAUAGCUGGUCUGAGAGGAUGAUCAGCCACACUGGGACUGAGACACGGCCCAGACUCCUACGGGAGGCAGCAGUGGGGAAUAUUGGACAAUGGGCGAAAGCCUGAUACAGCAAUGCCGCGUGAGUGAUGAAGGCCUUAGGGUUGUAAAGCUCUUUUACCCGAGAUGAUAAUGACAGUAACGGGAGAAUAAGCUCCGGCUAACUCCGUG
rnacentral:rRNA from 1 species